UUUAGCAGAGAUGCUUUAGUGCCUUCGGGAACUCUGAGACAGGUGCUGCAUGGCUGUCGUCAGCUCGUGUUGUGAAAGUGUUGGGGUUAAGUCCCGNAACGAGCGCAACCCUUAUCCUUUGUUGCCAGCACGUAAUGGUGGGAACUCAAAGGAGACUGCCGGUGAUAAACCGGAGGAAGGUGGGGAUGACGUCAAGUCAUCAUGGCCCUUACGAGUAGGGCUACACACGUGCUACAAUGGCGCAUACAAAGAGAAGCGACCUCGCGAGAGCAAGCGGACCUCAUAAAGUGCGUCGUAGUCCGGAUUGGAGUCUGCAACUCGACUCCAUGAAGUCGGAAUCGCUAGUAAUCGUAAAUCAGAAUGUUACGGUGAAUACGUUCCCGGGCCUUGUACACACCGCCCGUCACACCAUGGGAGUGGGUUGCAAAAGAAGUAGAUAGCUUAACCUUCGGGAGGGCGUUUACCACUUUGUGAUUCAUGACUGGGGUGAAGUCGUAACAAGGUAAGCGUAGUGCU
rnacentral:rRNA from 1 species